rnacentral:lncRNA from 1 species
CCAGCCAUUAGAUACUCCCUAGGCUGAUAUUAGCAUUUCUGUUUAGAGCCUAGGCUAGAUAUCUAGUUCUCAUAUGUAUUUUGUGUUUAUCAUGUAUCUUUAAACUUUGACUGAGGAACAUUUUAUUUGCUUUUGUUUUUGACAUGAAUGUACUAAAAUGUUCCUAUUUUGAUCAAUGAAGUUUGAAUGUUUGUUAUUUAUUGUGUCUUUUCCCAUGCACCUAUUUGAUGAUAACAAAAAGGGGGAGAAGUAAAGAAAGAGUAAUAGGGGGAGAAGUAAAGAUAGAGCAAUAAGAGGAGAAGUAAAGAAAGAAAGAGAAAUAACUUGUAAAACAAAUUGAAAAUCAUA